GGGAUUGUGGCUUAGUGGUAGAACACUUGCCUAGCAUGCAUGAAUCCCUGGGUUCAAUUCCUCAGUGCCA
rfam:Dipodomys ordii contig_13863, whole genome shotgun sequence.